rnacentral:rRNA from 1 species
CACGUAGGAGGCGAGCGUUGUCCGGAAUCAUUGGGCGUAAAGAGCGCGCAGGCGGCUUGGCAAGUCGGGUGUGAAAUCCCGGGGCUCAACCCCGUGACUGCAUCCGAUACUGUCAGGCUAGAGGUAGGUAGGGGAGAUCGGAAUUCCUGGUGUAGCGGUGAAAUGCGCAGAUAUCAGGAGGAACACCGGUGGCGAAGGCGGGUCUCUGGGCCGAUACUGACGCUGAGGAGCGAAAGCCAGGGGAGCAAACGGG